rnacentral:rRNA from 1 species
AAACCAACAGGGAUUGCCUCAGUAACGGCGAGUGAAGCGGCAAAAGCUCAAAUUUGAAACCCUCGGGAUUGUAAUUUGAAGAUUUGGCAUUGGAGAAAGCUAACCCAAGUUGCUUGGAAUAGUACGUCAUAGAGGGUGACAACCCCGU